ACUCAGGCUGUUGCUGCCAAUUGGGAGUGAACCAGCAGAUGGAAGCCCCUCUCUCUCCCACUGUGCAUAACUGUCUGCCAAAUAAAUAAAUAAAAAUCUAAAAAAGAAAAAAACAAAACCAGGGGCCUGGCUUCUGCUUCACCACUUAGGUUUUGUACUCUGGUCAGGUGUGAUGAACGGUUAUACCCACACAGUCUGUUCACACAGGGUGAGCUGAGUCCAGAUUCCUUUGGUCAGGUGUAAUGAACAGUUAUACCUACACAGUCUGUUCACACAGGGUGAGCUGAGUCCAGAUUCCUUUGGUCAGGUGUAACGAAUAGUUAUACCUACACAGUCUGUUCACACAGGGUGAGCUGAGUCCAGAUUCCUUUGGUCAGGUGUGAUGAACAGUUAUACCUACCCAGUCUGCUCACACAGGACGAGCUGAGUCCAGAUUCCCUAGAGUCACA